rnacentral:tRNA from 1 species
AUCAGUAGCUCAGCUGGAUAGAGCAACGGCCUUCUAAGCCGUGGGUCGAGGGUUCGAGUCCCCCCUGGU